UUUAUAAAUAAAGUGAAGUUCUUUAAAGCUUUAAUAUAAUUUAGAAAACAAAAACCCAAGAGAGAAACUGUAAAAUUGACCCAUAAGUAUCAUAAAGUCUAUUAUCGUGUUGGGUGGCGACUCGAGCUACGGAGGUCACUGGUCACGGAGAGAGCAGCUGAGAGGGCCGGUUGAGCGUUAGGCUUGUUUUGUGGUUUGUUGAGUUCUCUUGUAAUUUGUGAAAGAAUGGAGAUUGGAGAAGAAGCUGCCUAAGAAGGAGAUGAACAUCAAAUGAGGUCGUUGCCUUGCCUGCUAGCCUAGUCGCCUUUU
rnacentral:lncRNA from 1 species